AGCGCCGCGGGGCGGCGGGCAGCGGGCGCCUGCCCUCAGGACGGGGAGGCGGCCGCGGGUCCCCUCAGCGGGUCCCGUUCUGUCACGUCCGCUCCUGUCAUGUCCAGGGCAGCCUGACCCUCGCAGCUGGGCCUUCAGCAGAACUCGCUGCAUCGAGCUGCCCGGGCACAAACGCCUUUUUCUUGGUGGAGGGAAAAUAAGCGUGCUCGCAGAGCGUGUGUAACCCCCAAGGGCUGCGGAGCGCCGUGUGUGAGCGCUGUGGGACGCGGCUCUGGCCGAAGGGAGCAGGCCGCAACGUCCAGUUACACCAAAAGUUUGGGUGUAGUCAGCACUAGAGCUGGAUUUAUUCACAGUGCUCCCAAGGUCUCAGAGAUGCUGUAACAGUCCUCAGAGCCAUGCCACCAAUUCUUGCCUGGCUUUCUGCCCGUAUGUGUGGCAUCGAUACAACUGUUACAAGAAAUGGAAUAGAUUUUGAAGCUGCAUAUUUGAGAGGCAACAGCAAAUUCAUCUUUUUGAAAUCUUGAACCUUGCUGGCUUCAAACAAGCUCACUCCAAGACAGUGUUGCUCAGGAACAGCACUUCAAACAGGAGUCUUAACUGCAGUCAAAGCUGGGUAAGUGCAGCUUUGUCUUUGGUAUUUGCAGCAUGCCUCUCGGCAGGGUGUUUGGAAUGAAGAGAGAUUUUACUUGGGUGGAAAGCGUGGCUCAUGCCAUUGGUAACAAGUUGUGGAGGUUUACAUAUAUGCAUAUUCACAUCACAAAAGCCACUUCUCAGUUGGGGUUGACUGAGCCUGUUGGUGGAAGUCCCAGAAGAGAAGCCCAGGAGUGUCAACUGAGAAGGCUGAUAACCCUCUCCACUUUGCCCAGGGGACAGAUCGCUGUCCCUCUGUGGUAAGGUCUGCCUUGUCUGUGUGUUUCUGGAGGAAGUGGGCAGUGUCAGUCCCUGGACACCUCUAAAUCUGCUCAAAGAGAAGAACAGUUGUGGCAAGUUCAUGUAAUGCAUAGUCCCCUGGCUUGCCUAAAAAUUUUGGGCUCUUGUCUUUUAAGUUGGUAUCACUAGCAAGAGCCUGAUCCUGCAGGCUGAGUGCCUGGAUCAGAUUAAUUCUGAAUUCUCAAGGGCUGCUCCAUGUGUCUCAUGAAAAAUAGAUAAUGAAAGAUGAUCCAGCUAAUAGAGCUGAGAUCUCUAAGUAUCUCAAGGCCCUGACGUCACUGCAGGCAGUCCCCAGGAGGAGACACCGUGUGCUCCCCGUCAGCUCCUCACUGUGCCCUAAAGAAAAUGAUUGAGGCCAGCAAAUGUGUUUCUAUUUCCGCCUCACCGAUAAAGAGCUUCCCAAAGGCUUGAUGCCUAUGUGGUUACUAACACUUCUGAAGUUACCACGACCGCGUCCUCUCAGUAGCAGCCACUCAAAUGUUCCUUAGUGGUGGGAUGGGUGGUUUAAAAUUCAGACACUUGAAUAUGAGAGUAGGGUUGACUGCAUAAGAGUGCCUGCUGUUUUAUCAAAAAUAAGGUAAUGAAGUGCCCAUUGGUCCUUAAUUUGGCAUUGCACAACCUUAAACCUGUGAUUCACUUUUUAAAAAAGGGUGAACAUAAAAAGUAAUCUCAGCUGUUAAAGUAUCUUAAGCUAUUUUUUAAUCACAUUCCCCCAAGAGGCAUAGUUUAGUUGGUUGAGCUCCUGCUUUCUAUUUCCAGCUCUACUUCUGACUCGCUGUUUAAUCUUAGAGAAAGAAUUUUUCACCUCAUGCUUGUGCCUUAAACUGAGUAUAAUAACUGCACAAUAACUUUUCUGUUCCUUCAUCUAAGGAUGGAGGAUGCUCUCAUUCACAUACUGUAUCAUGUCUGGCUAUUUAACAUGUAAGAUCUGUGAUGCAGGUUGGUUGUGUACUUUUGUCUGUUGUGAUGCACCACUUCUGGCAUUGUAACCUCAGCACUUCCAUUUUCUACCUGCCACUUCUGCUUACUACUCUGGGUUCUUGUUCAGCAGCAAAAUAAAAUAAAAUAAAAUAAAAUAAAAUGCAGAGUAACUCCUGCCAUUGUCCAGAAGAACAGGAAUCCAAUUCGUUAACUGUUUUUUACUUCCUAUGUUUUGUGUCACAUUUGGAAUCUUAACUGAUCUGAAAAGACCUCCUGACCUGAAGCCCAACAGAAAUUACCUACCAACGUAUUGCUCAGCUUGUUUUCCUAUGAGCAUUGCCAAGAUACGGCAACUGCCUCUGUUUAACUGGUGGGCUACUCUGAGAAUGUAUCAAGGUGGUUUUUUGUUUGUGGUUGCUGAUUUUUUUUUGAUGUACUACUGCUGAUAAUUGCCUCCUCACAUAUUAUGCUGCCUUCCUAGUGCUUUAAAUUUAAGAUAUGGUAGGUAAAGCAGAAAGAAAAAAAAUACAGACAAAUCAAGUCUUUCUGUAAGAUGUUUGCUGCAUGUAGCCCAAAUCAGGCCACAGAUUUUGACUAUUAGAAAGACUAUUUUUAAGGAUCCUCGCUAGAAGAUAAACAUCAUACCAGCGACAUCCAAAAAGAAUAACUAUGGUUUUGUUCUCAAUUUCUAUCAACUGAUAGUAGGAAGGUCUUAGACAGAGGUUCCCAAAGCACAAGUGGGAUCUUGAGAUGAAUUACAGCAAUAACAAGUGGAGCUACAAGGCUAAGAAAUGCAGUUUCACACAAUGUUGAUGUAUUUGACAACAAAUAACUUAGUGUUAUGAAGUGGAAUAAAGGCCUGUGAACUACUGAUCUAAUUUCUGAACAGUAAAAUGGGAUUUAGGAGACCCAGAGGUAAGAUGAGCCCCUCUCUGUGAUACUGGGUGAUUCAUUAAUAUACCCCAUGUCUCAGUUUGACCUUUAAAAAUGGAUGUAGUGAUUUUCUUCCUGCUGUGGUCAGUCAGAUGCUACAGUAAUAGAGCCACAGGUAGCUAGGAUUUUGUAAUGGUCUUUAGUCAGUAACAAAUUGCAUCUUGCAACUCCACUAUGCGGUCGAUAAUGUCCUCAGAGGCAUGGAUUGAAUCACAGUUUCUUCGAUAUGAAUGGCACAACAUGGGGUAGGAAGAAGAAGUCCUUCUUUUAGUUAUUAGCCAGGGCAAGGCAGAGCCCAGCUCAUGGUACCAAACAAGGAGAACUUCACAAGAACUCUCCCUGUUCGACAAGAUACCACUAUGCUGUAAGUGUCAGACUCAGUCCUUCCUAAAAACAUCCCCUUGUACUGUAUUCUUGCAAGAGAAGAGGGACAAUAUUGAAAAUUGCUACACAGCAAUUCAUUGUGUGCAUUUCAUUGUGCUCACAUCAGUAACAUUCAAUUGUUUUGACUGGGAUUUAGCUACAGUUUGCCUUUAACUGGAUGCCCACAGCAGCGAUAAGAGAGGGAGUGGCAGGUUCUCACUUCUGUGUGGGUCUGUCUGGCAUUUAUGCACAUGCAAUGCAUACGUUUUCUCUGCUACAAGUAAGGAGAGUGACCUGGUUGCCCAGGGUGGUUGUUUGGGUGGAGGAGGAGGAGGUGGAGGAGGGAAGCAGGAGGGUAGAUCAAUGACACAUGACUGCUGAGAUCUUUUCCCAUGUGUGGAAGGUUUAUGGCUUUAGUACAGGCUAUUCUGGGACCCCUUAUAUGGUUUGGAAUUAUUUUUAAUAACCUUUCUCUUUGUCCUGUUUUUAUAUAACAUUACCUUACUUUUUCUGGGGGAAAGAAACAACCUGUACUCCAUUCCAGCCCUUUCUUGCUCUGCUUUGUCCUCAGAACUUUUUCAGACAGUUAAUGAAUCCAUGAUAUAAAAACAAAAACCAAACCACCAGCUUUAAAUCCCUUCACUGUCCCACAGCCUUGAAGGCACAGGGACUUCUUUGGGACAGGUAGCAAAGGACACGAAAACUAACUGAGAGGAGGAAGUGACUGGAAGAAGCAGUAGGAAUUCUCUGCUCUGCCAUUAGCUUCCUCUCACAGUUCCUUUUUGUUUAAGCCUUCUUUUCUGUAUCCUCCUUUGAGCAGAGCCAGGAGCAAGGAAGGAAACGAAUAGAGAACUAAUCAAAAAUUGCAAUCAAAAAGGUUUUUUGAUAAAGUGAUUUGGUGCUAAGGUCAGGCAUUGUCCUGAUGGUUUGGAAGACAACAGUGAGGCCACAGAUCUGCUGCCUUUAGCUGCCUGAUAGCAACCAGUCCUCUGAGGGGGUUGCUUCGUUGCUGAGAUCUCUCAGCUUUUAUUCUUGCUGCUCUGGCUGCCAGCAAAGGUGCUAAUUCAUGCUGGCUGUGAUGAUGAGAACAGUUAUCCACAGAAACAGUGGAUGCAGCCUGGCAGAGCCCUCACACAGAGCACACAGAGCAGCCAGCAAAUGGUAACAAUCAUGUUUGUAAUCCUGCUAAAAUGGCCCUGUGCAAGGACGGUAUGGCAGACUGAAGUCUUCCUGCACCAACUGAUUCAUUACCUGUACCAUGAGUGUGGAGAAAAGAGAGCCCUGAAAGUGAGUCAUGGAGGAUUCUAAAGCAGAGCACCAGCUCCUCUUUGGAGCCUCUGCCAUUGUUGCCAUUUAGCAAAGCCAUGAAAAAAAUCCUAGGCUUGCUAGGGUCUUGUCUAACCCCCAAAUACAUCUCCACAGCAAAAUGUCUUAACAGUCUUGCUCAAAAAGCAGGGGAGCAGGGGUUUUCUUGCAGAAAAAAAUGUAGAGGUUCACUACAGAACAGGUAUGGAGUGAAUGUCAGGUGUGGAUGAAUAAACAGAACAAAACAGGAAAAACGGUGAACAGAGAGUAAGUGGUUGUCUUCAGCCUUUGUAAUCUAAGUCUUGGAGAGACCCAGUGUCUCUAUUAAUACUUCAGGGCCUCUUUGUUUUUGCAUAUCCAGUUAUUCAUACUCGGUUUUGCAUAUCCAGUGAGCUCGUUUGUCACAACUCAUUGACUGUAUUUCUCUGAUUGGACUCUCAAUUUUUUGAAUGUUUUGAUUUCAGCCUUUUUAUUCCCAUACAUUAUUAUUUUCUCACUCCUCCUGUGAUCCUCACUGCAGUCUUCAGACUCUGACAUAUGAAGUUGGCCCUCAUACAUUUUAGGAGCUCUGAGAUUGCUGAGUAUUUAUAAAAACAGCUUGCAUUUCUCUAAGGUUUUCAUUCAGAGAGUUCAAAGUUCAACACACCAGUCAUUCUGACAUCCCUUCUAGGAGGGAGCUAAUUGAAGAGAGGAACUGCCUAAGGCACAAAGAGAUGAAGAAACUGCACGAAGUCCAACAACACCAGAUAUACUUGCUGUAUCUCUGGUGUGUCAUCCCUGAUCUGCAGUCUGACCUACUGUGACAAUUUUAAUGAUUUCUUUUAUUUCAGGCAUCUUUCCACAUCCUGCUUCCCAAAUUGUCAUUUUUAGAAGUCAACUACAAAGGUCUACUUGCUGCUUUUUAAAACAUCAGAGAGCUAAAAAAUAGCAUGUUUUCAUUUGACAGAACAUUAACUUCAGCUUGACUUUUAUUAUUUUGCUUGAGUUUCCCUGGACUGGAAAACAGAUGCCAUAAAGGGAUAAAACGACACCAAAUAAAAUUUAAAGAGCAUCAGAAGAUGAGAUGCUGCAUCACAAUGUGUGUGAACCUGAAACAUUUUCUAUUUGUUUUACUGAAUUCCUGACAAUCACAUGAAAGGGAAGUUUCCAUUUGUAAACGUUUAAGUAUCUUCAGAAGGUCUUACUGAAGAAAGAAGUUCAAAGGUUAGCUAACAGAACUAUCUCACGGGAAAGGGGAAAACAAGAUACCAUGUCUUAUAGGGAAAUACUCCAGAAAAACAAAACAAAACAAAAAACCAACCAUAGAUUCUAGCAAGUAAACUGAAGAUACUGCAGUAUCAUCUUAGAGCUUUCUGUCUGAAUUUUCAUUUACAGAGCUUCUUGCAAAAAUGAGCAGAGGACUCUGCACAGUAGGAAGAAUAAAAGUGUAUCCUAGGCUAAAAAUAAAACUGCACCCACUGGUGCUGAAGUCAGACCUGACUGGAUCAUUUCCAUCUUGCAAAGAAAAAUAAGGGAAUGUGUACAACAACAAUUAGUCCUGCCCUGUGCAGCUAUGAACACCUGCUGUACACACAGUUCUCCCUCUUCACUCAGUACUGGCUUUUCUCAUGCUUCUGCGUGAUACCAAAGUAUUUGCCAAAGGAAAAUAAUGCUGCUGCCAAAAGGAAAUAAAACUUGUGUGUCCCUAUAUAUAUAUUUAUUUUUCUGCACUCCUUUGCCAGUGGAUCCCCCCCUCGCCCAUGCAUAUGCAUUCAGACAGAGACGAGCUCAGGCACUUUCUAUUCCUAUUUCCCCUGGGGGUAUGGAGCGGUUUUAAUUUCCAACCUACCACAGAAUUGUCAGUGAAGGCAUCAGGGUUAUUCUCAUAAAUGAACUUCUCCACCCUCAGCUGUCGUAAUUUGAACAUCUUGGAUCCUUUGUUCGUGAGGAGAGAAAGCUCUUCUAGCAUCACAUCUCUGGGGAUGCUGAUCUUCUUCCCCAGGUUCAGCUUGGAUACC